rnacentral:rRNA from 1 species
AUUGAACGCUGGCGGCAUGCCUUACACAUGCAAGUCGAACGGUAACGCGGGGCAACCUGGCGACGAGUGGCGAACGGGUGAGUAAUAUAUCGGAACGUGCCCAGUAGUGGGGGAUAGCCCGGCGAAAGCCGGAUUAAUACCGCAUGAGACCUGAGGGUGAAAGCGGGGGAUCGCAAGACCUCGCGCUAUUGGAGCGGCCGAUAUCAGAUUAGCUAGUUGGUGGGGUAAAGGCCUACCAAGGCAACGAUCUGUAGUUGGUCUGAGAGGACGAACAGCCACACUGGGACAGAGACACGGCCCAGACUCCUACGGGAGGCAGCAGUGGGGAAUUUUGCACAAUGGGCGCAAGCCUGAUCCAGCAAUGCCGCGUGCAGGAAGAAGGCCUUCGGGUUGUAAACUGCUUUUGUCAGGGAAGAAAUCUUCUGGGUUAAUACCUCGGGAGGAUGACGGUACCUGAAGAAUAAGCACCGGCUAACUACGUGCCAGCAGCCGCCGUAAAAC